CAUAAUGGCGAGGGGCGCCGCAAGCGCGGCUGAGAAGCACCCGUCGAACCUGAUCCGGGUCAUGCCGGCGUAGGGAAGGCCAGCGAAGAAGCGA
rnacentral:ncRNA from 2 species